UACGAAGGGGGCUAGCGUUGUUCGGAAUUACUGGGCGUAAAGCGCACGUAGGCGGAUAUGUAAGUCAGGGGUGAAAUCCCGGGGCUCAACCUCGGAACUGCCUUUGAAUACUGCAAAUCUUGAGUCCGGAAGAGGUGAGUGGAAUUCCUAGUGUAGAGGUGAAAUUCGUAGAUAUUAGGAAGAACACCAGUGGCGAAGGC
rnacentral:rRNA from 1 species